CUUUGCUUGCUCUGCUUCUUCUUUCUUUUCCUAUGCUGACCUGCAAGUGAAUUACUGCAACAUUUGGCGUAGUCGGCAGGAUCCAGCACCAAAAGGGUACCUUCAAGACUUAUCAAAUUGCAGAAUGAGCAACCCAUUUAUCAGACAACUUCAGGAGCUGGCAAUGCAGAGAACUCCUACAAUGGCAAUAAGAACAACAGACCCCCCAACGUGGGGACAGAUGAAAAGGUUGACUCAAGAAGCUAAAAAAAAACCUUCAAAAGGCAAAUCAGCCUUUAAAUCCUGUUAAUCUUUUAUUAGCUAUGCUUGCAGUUAUUAAUUGCCAGUCUUCCAACACUGAAAAAAGCGAAGACAACUGAAACAUGAAACCUCUCUUAUCACUUCUGCAAUGGCUCAUUAACAAAAACAAUAGGAGGGAGAUGUAGAGAAUCAGAUGUGACUGCGUUACUAUUACUGUCCUUGAUGGAGUCUGCCUGCAAACGGGAUAUUCUGUCAAGGUAUAGAUAGGUAACAGCGGACAUGCUUGAAAAGGAGGUGUCUGCUGUCCUUGGGAGAACUUGCCUGCAAAUGGGAUAUUCUGCCAAGUGGGCUAGGAGGGCGCUAAGAAAAAUUUUAUUAUCUGUUCUUAACAAGAACAGAGCUUGGCAUGCUCCAGGCCGAGAGCAGAUUAGCCAUGAG